UUAACCUGAGUUAUAAUAAACUGGGAGAUUCAGGAGUGAAACUGGUGUCUGCGGCUCUGAGGAACCCGGAGUGUAAAAUACAGAAACUGGUGCUGAGGAGUGUCGGUCUCACAGAUUCUGGUGCCGAGGAUCUCGUCUCCGCUGUCAGUACAAACCCAUCACUGACUUGGCUGAACCUGAGAUACAACUCUCUGACAGACCGAUCUCACCCCGCUCUCCGCCGCCUCAUACUGACCCUCCCGAAUCUGAAGCGGAUCCGGCUGGAGUACAAUCGGUUCACUGAGACCGGGAGGAAGGAACUGAGAUCUCUACAGGAAGUCAGACCUGGACUGACAGUGGAUCUGUGAACAUCUGAAUGUGGGGAAUCGGUUCAGUGAGACCGGGAUGAAGGAACUGAGAUCUCUACAGGAACCCAGACCCGGACUGAGAGUGGAUCUGUGAACAUCUGAAUGUGGUGAAUCGGUUCAGUGAGACCGGGAGGAAGGAACUGGGAUCUCUACAGGGAGUC